GCGCAGUUGGUCCAGUGGGAGAAUUCCCGCAUCAUUAAAGCGGGGGGCCCGGGUUCGAUUCCCGGACUGCGCA
rfam:Trypanosoma cruzi Dm28c contig00090, whole genome shotgun sequence.